rnacentral:rRNA from 1 species
UACGAAGGGGGCUAGCGUUGCUCGGAAUUACUGGGCGUAAAGCGCACGUAGGCGGCUUUCUAAGUCGGGGGUGAAAUCCUGGAGCUCAACUCCAGAACUGCCUUCGAUACUGGAAAGCUCGAGUCCGGGAGAGGUGAGUGGAACUGCGAGUGUAGAGGUGAAAUUCGUAGAUAUCGGGAGGAACACCGGUGGCGAAGGCGGCGACCUGGGUAGAUACUGACGCUGAGGUGCGAAAGCGUGGGGAGCAAACAGG